GAUGAACGCUGGCGGCGUGCCUAAUACAUGCAAGUCGAGCGAAUGGAUUAAGAGCUUGCUCUUAUGAAGUUAGCGGCGGACGGGUGAGUAACACGUGGGUAACCUGCCAAUAAGACUGGGAUAACUCCGGGAAACCGGGGCUAAUACCGGAUAACAUUUUGAACCGCAUGGCUCGAAAUUGAAAGGCGGCUUCGGCUGUCACUUAUGGAUGGACCCGCGUCGCAUUAGCUAGUUGGUGAGGUAACGGCUCACCAAGGCAACGAUGCGUAGCCGACCUGAGCGGGUGAUCGGCCACACUGGGACUGAGACAAGGCCCAGACUCCUACGGGAGGCAGCAGUAGGGAAUCUUCCGCAAUGGACGAAAGUCUGACGGAGCAACGCCGCGUGAGUGAUGAAGGCUUUCGGGUCGUAAAACUCUGUUGUUAGGGAAGAACAAGUGCUAGUUGAAUAAGCUGGCACCUUGACGGUACCUAACCAGAAAGCCACGGCUAACUACGUGCCAGCCGCCGCAGUAA
rnacentral:rRNA from 1 species